rnacentral:lncRNA from 1 species
UGGCCCUUUAGUUACACAGAGGAAAAUAUUUUUUAAAAAUUUACAAAAAUUUAUAAAAUUAAUGAAAAUUGUUAAAAAUUGACUAUAAAGGGCCAUUACUCUUUGAGGGGGUCAACUGACCAUUUAGGUCAUGUUGACUUAUUUGUAGAUCUUACUUUGCUGAACAUUAUUGCUGUUGACAGUUUAUCUCUAUCUAUACUAAUAUUCAUGAUAAUAACCAAAAACAGCAAAAUUUCUUUAAAAAUUACAAAGUGUGGGGCAGCAACCCAUUGUCCAAGUCAUCUGAAAAUUUCAGAGCAGAUAAAU